GCGACGACGACUCGUCUCCUCCGACGCAGCGCCGCCGACUCCGCCUCCGCCCCCUCCUUAUCCCCCUUCAGUUCACCCCUCCCCCUCACGCAGCGAGUCAUCCGCGGCGGCGGCGGCUAACAGAUCAAGGAUACAUCACACCAUACUUUGAAGAUUUGCAUUGUGCCGACGAAGAAAGGCACGUGUUGACUGGAAUCAUGGUUGCACUUUCGGCAUCCACUUCUCCAGAAGUGACAUUGAAGCUAGACAGCACCAUACCCCGUUGUUUUCAGCGUGUGAUGGCCGCGGUGGCGUCUUCUUCACUGACAAUAGGGCAAAAUAACAGGAACCAAAAGGCGAGCCGUGCUGCUCAGUGGUUUGCGUUUGUCUUCGUGCCGUUUGCUUUCAUUGUCACUGCAGCAGGUUUGGCGUGCAUCAUGUAUAACAAACCCCGCCUGGGGUUCCGGUUAUCAUGUUAUCAUGUAACCCUCUUCUUGCCGCGUGCACCCUUGGCCGCGUGGGAAGCUCUCCACGAUGUCGGUUUUGAGAAGAUUGGCGUUGCUGUCAGUCUAACCUGUGGCCCCGUUUUGUUAUUGGACCAGGCAAUACCCAUCGUCUGGUCUAGCCUUGUCUCCCAUCUGAUUGCUGUUAUCGUUGCCUUCUGGGUCUGCCUUGUUCGGGCGUAUGGCAAGAGUUAGUCUAGCUAGCUAGCGGCUUAUUGGAUGCGGUUUGUAGUAGAAUAAUAAUGGGCCUUUUGGCGCUUCUUCCUGUAAUAAGGUUGGUGCCACUAACGGCUCUAUUUUGUCACCUGCUGAGGGCAAGAUCCAGGUUUUAGGACCAAAGGAUAAACACAGUGCUCAGUUUCAGAUGAAGAAGACGGUGGAGGUUCAAUCUAAUUGUUUACCCUUCUCCCGUUUUAUAUGUCACCUACAAAGUGUACAACUGUACAUACAAAAGAAAACCCCAGCCCUUGCAAGGAGGAAACUGCAGGGCUGAAAACGUCAGGAAAAUCUUCUACAGUUAUCAUUAGCUUACUGUCUACAAAGAAGCUCUUAGCUGGGUAUAACUAUUUCCUUCUAGCACAAGUCCACCAUAUACGUCUUUUGGAUAUAUUUCCGCACACUGAGAUGACCACAAAUUGCAGUUUUGCUGCUUGACAGAAUCCUGGAUAAUUGUUGAAACACGUUAUAUUGUUGUUGAACUGAAUAAAACGGUUGCGCUCUGCCAAAUCAACAUAUUGAGCAGUUGAAAGUUUCUGUAGGAAAUCUGUUUAUUUCUUGCGAUUGUAUCCUUGUAAUCUGCAAACAUGCGGCCAGUUGGUUUCUGCUUCUAUUUAACUAUUGUUGUUUCUCA